AUUGAACGCUGGCGGCAGGCCUAACACAUGCAGGUCGAGCGGAUGAGGGGAGCUUGCUCCUGGUUUCAGCGGCGGACGGGUGAGUAAUGCCUAGGAAUCUGCCUGGUAGUGGGGGAUAACGUCCGGAAACGGGCGCUAAUACCGCAUACGUCCUGAGGGAGAAAGUGGGGGAUCUUCGGACCUCACGCUAUCAGAUGAGCCUAGGUCGGAUUAGCUAGUUGGUGGGGUAAAGGCCUACCAAGGCGACGAUCCGUAACUGGUCUGAGAGGAUGAUCAGUCACACUGGAACUGAGACACGGUCCAGACUCCUACGGGAGGCAGCAGUGGGGAAUAUUGGACAAUGGGCGAAAGCCUGAUCCAGCCAUGCCGCGUGUGUGAAGAAGGUCUUCGGAUUGUAAAGCACUUUAAGUUGGGAGGAAGGGCAGUAAGUUAAUACCUUGCUGUUUUGACGUUACCAACAGAAUAAGCACCGGCUAACUUCGUG
rnacentral:rRNA from 1 species